rnacentral:rRNA from 1 species
CUACGGGCGGCUCCAGUGGGGAAUCUUAGACAAUGGGGGAAACCCUGAUCUAGCCAUGCCGCGUGAGCGACGACGGCCCUAGGGUUGUAAAGCUCUUUCAGCAGGGAAGAUAAUGACGGUACCUGCAGAAGAAGUCCCGGCUAACUCCGUGCCAGCAGCCGCGGUAAUACGGAGGGGACUAGCGUUGUUCGGAAUUACUGGGCGUAAAGCGCGCGUAGGCGGAUUGUUAAGGCGGGGGUGAAAUCCCGGGGCUCAACCCCGGAACUGCCCUCGAUACUGGCAGUCUUGAGUUCGAGAGAGGUGAGUGGAAUUCCGAGUGUAGAGGUGAAAUUCGUAGAUAUUCGGAGGAACACCAGUGGCGAAGGCGGCUCACUGGCUCGAUACUGACGCUGAGGUGCGAAAGCGUGGGGAGCAAACAGGAUUAGAUACCCCCGUAGUC